rnacentral:rRNA from 1 species
AUGCUAAUACCGCAUACGUCCUACGGGAGAAAGCAGGGGAUCUUCGGACCUUGCGCUAAAUGAUGAGCCUAAGUCGGAUUAGCUAGUUGGUGGGGUAAAGGCCUACCAAGGCGACGAUCUGUAGCGGGUCUGAGAGGAUGAUCCGCCACACUGGGACUGAGACACGGCCCAGACUCCUACGGGAGGCAGCAGUGGGGAAUAUUGGACAAUGGGCGGAAGCCUGAUCCAGCCAUGCCGCGUGUGUGAAGAAGGCCUUUUGGUUGUAAAGCACUUUAAGCGAGGAGGAGGCUCUCCUAGUUAAUACCUAGGAUGAGUGGACGUUACUCGCAGAAUAAGCACCGGCUAACUCUGUGCCAGCAGCCGCGGUAAUACAGAGGGUGCGAGCGUUAAUCGGAUUUACUGGGCGUAAAGCGUGCGUAGGCGGCUGAUUAAGUCGGAUGUGAAAUCCCUGAGCUUAACUUAGGAAUUGCAUUCGAUACUGGUCAGCUAGAGUAUGGGAGAGGAUGGUAGAAUUCCAGGUGUAGCGGUGAAAUGCGUAGAGAUCUGGAGGAAUACCGAUGGCGAAGGCAGCCAUCUGGCCUAAUACUGACGCUGAGGUACGAAAGCAU